CGAGGGUGUGAAGCAUUCUGUGGCUCAAAAGGUCACCGAACUUCGCGGGAGAGCACAUCCUCAGUCACGCACUAGCUCAACUGGCAGAGCAAUCGUCUCGAAAAACGAUAGGUCGUUGGUUCAAAUCCGACGUGCUACCAAGCAAAAGCCUUUCCCUGCCACGGUCCGACAGCGCCGUAAUCCUCGACCUCGCAAGGGGAAUCGAGGCAGUCGUGAACUCGCAAGGUGAUCGACUGUCCGUAAGGCGGUAGUGCAGCGCAGGAGUUAGCUGCUCCUACGCGAAGCGAAACCUGCGGAGUAGGCCGUGGCAUGACGAGUGGCUGCCGCAAGCAGCCCGGCGCGGCGGUUACCAGCGGGAGCUGGUGGACAAGUCGGGAAACGAUAAUCCGACGAGAGACCGUCACGGGUGGGUCAAGUCUCAGCCC
rnacentral:sRNA from 1 species